rnacentral:rRNA from 1 species
AUGAGGAAUCCCUUCGGCGUCCCGAAGACCUUUGAUCUGGAGAUCCCGGAGCCGGUGGGACUGCCUAACUCCUUCGAGCCGGAGGCACCUCUGUCGCCGCCGCCCGCGCCACCGACGGAGAGGCGCACACUCGUCCACCCCCUCACAAUCCAUGUGCUGGAUGUGGUGGACCGUACUGUCCCAUUCUUGGAGUUCAAUAAAGACUUUGAGCCCGAUGAGGAUGAGGAUCUAACCAGGCGUCACGACUACUCUCGAUUCUGUUUCAGAGGAAGAGUAGAUGGCACCGGGAGUGGUAAUACGCCUCGUUCUAGGACUCACCCUUUUGGUGGCCCGGGUGGUUUCGGGAUUGCCGGGGACUGGGGCGGACGCCGAGCACAUGGUCUUUUGGCUCCGGCGGGAGGCAUGCCACUCCCACAUCUGCAGUCCGUGAGGAGGAUUCCGGUCAGACCCAGGGGAGGCGAAUCCAUGUCUCCGGCGCCGCCUAUUUGCACGGGGCCGAUGGAUGGAGGGCUUGCGCCUGCAGCCCCUCUGACCUCCUUGGCGACGCGCUCUCCAUCACUUGCUGCUUCCGUUCCCCCCAUGGUGGUUGGCUCUGCGGCACUAGUGGACACGCCGGCAAUGCCGGAUUCCCUAGCCCCGACGGCGGUGGGAUCGGCGGCUUUUGGAAAUACUCCCCCUUCUGGUCGAGCUACUCUCCAUAUGCAGCUAUCGCCCUGCCGCCUCUCCUUUGGUUUGGAUGAGGAGGAGCACGAGGCGCCCACGGAUGCGGCUUUGGCGCCCAUGGGAAGGGGGAGCCCGCUCGCGGGGGAGGAGAUCUCUUCCGCCUCAGCUACGGAGUUGCCUGUCGAUCUAGUUGCAGGACCACAGGGGCUCAAACCUCUCGUGAUGCAGAGACAAGUUGAGGAGACGCUCAACUCCAGCUUCAGUCCGGUGCGCACCCCUUUUGCAAUCCCGCUAAGCCCAAGCAAGCUGCUGCCUCACCUGGCGCCAAUAGGGGGAUUGGGGCUGGAGCUUGGACCGAAGACGGCGGAGGAAACGCUGUUGAGUGGUUUGAUGGCCACACCCACAUCAUCGAUCCUUGGCCCUAGGCCGGCGGCUUCGGCUCCUGUGCGCCGCAAGAAGGGCAUCCCCCCGGGCUUUACGCCGCGACGGAGUGCAAGGCUUUGCAAGAACAAUGGUGGCAUGAACAUGGGGCCUUAUCACAGGGCCCAGACUGUGCUCCUUCGCCGCAUGGGGGUGAUUCAAGCUGAAGAGCAGCUGUCGAAGGAGGCGCUAGAUGAAUACCUGAAGAUGUUUGAAGGCCCGCUGGUUCCGCACCACAUCAAGGCCAUCGCGGCUCUAUUCGACCCCGACGGGGUUGGUUUUGAUGAGCCUGCUCAUGAAGGAUUCUCAGCCUUCUCCCUGCCGGACGUCGUGGAACCGUGUGGUGCUUAG